rnacentral:tRNA from 1 species
GGUUCUGUAUUCAAAAAUGAUUUUAAAUUGCAAAUUUAAAGGUGAAUAAAAUUCCAGAACUU